rnacentral:lncRNA from 1 species
UAGGGCUCUCACAUGGUAUACAUCAUACUUGGUCAUCCAAUCAAUACUAACUUUAGAAGAGAUUUCCGAAUCCAACAGGUAUAUCAAGUACUCCCCUGGACCGCCACAUUGGUACACCACUUCAAGGUCUUGGUCUGCUUCCACGGAUGCCUCCAUAAUCGGUGCUACUGCAUCGUCAUUAGCGCUAAGCUCAUCAUCCAA